ensembl:lncRNA
CUUUAUACUGAUGCUCAGAUCGACGCAAAUGUGAACAGUAAGGGGAGACGUGGAAGAUAUUACUUUUUAAAACUUUUUCUCAAGUGAAAGUCAAGCAUUUAUUCCCAGCGGGGCGGAUAAUGUACAGGAACACGUAUGUGCUUGUUGUUGCAACACGGAACGUUUUAAUCGACGCACUCGCCAAACUGGAGGUUUGGCUGGAACACUCGGCUUUACCCGAGGCAGGACGCUUGUCUGCCGUUUAGCAUGGCGUUUUUCAGGACGGACGGAUUUCUUCUCUGCUUGGGUUUCACCGUGGAGGACGCGGAGGAGAUAAAGAGAGCGCACCUGUUUCAUUUUCUCAGUAAGCAGAGAGGAGCUCAGGGGAAAAUAGCUCCCGCGUUCUAGUAUAGUCGCUGGGAUGACGUCAUCAGAUGAUGUCAUCGGCUAAUUUACAUAUUCAGUUUAAUUGUCGGGAGCAUUUGCAUAUCAGCGUUUGUUGCAUGAAAUAAUAGGUGUAUUUUCGGGGGGGGGGGGGAUAGAAAAUAAGUAAGCAAAAAAAAAAAGGCUUGUGGAUGCGCUGUUGUGACGUGUAUCAUGCACUCACCAGUGUGUUCAAUCAACGUAUCGGGCUGCGUCACACCAACCAGUAGUUGAUAGUUUUCCUAUAACCACACAUUCUGAAGAACAGUUCACCAAUGAUUACAGUUUGAAUGUAUUAAUGAACACGACAUCAUUUUUUUAUCCCUUCAUACUUGCGUUUAUCGUGUGUCGUGUUCACGAGACCAGUUAUCUCAGUCUGUUAUACAGUUGAAUUUGGGGAAACCACUUGAUGCAUUCGUUGUGUUUAACUAUUUUCAAUUAAAUUUUAUUUGUAUAGUGGUUUUUACAAUGGGUAUUGUUUCAAAGAAGCUUUACAGAAACAUAUAAACACAGGACACAGAUUUUAACCGUGUGAAUUUAUCCCGAAGGGAUAAACUCCGAAGGGAACACGUCCUCAUCUGGGUAACAAUGCAUAGUGUGAAAGUAAAGGGAAGUUCAUUGUGGUUUUUAUAUGAAGUCUGUUUCAAUUCCUUCUGUUUGAUUUGUUCGUUACAAACAGCGGAAAGUCUUUAAAUUUUGACAAUGAAUCUGAUAUGCAGUGGGGGUCGAAUAAUAAUUUUGACUACAACUGUACAGGGUGUCCCAAAAGUCUCCAUACACAAGGGACUGAAUAUGUUUGCCAGCAACACGUAGGUUGUGCCUUCGGCAGUGGAAGUUCAUGGAGGUCCACUUCCAGGUCGGUCCGCAACACUUCCAGUCUUUUUGAAUUUGUUCAUUAGUUCAACCAUCGAUCAGUGCCCUGAAUACUGAACUAGGGAGCUGGUUCAGACACACCCAGAGAAUGUUCCAUGAUGCCCUUAUUAUUGCUUAAUACAAAGUAGGUUACAGAUUUCGGUAUUAGGCUCGGUGAAUACCAAAAAACUUACCUGUAGUUGGACUGAGAAAAUUAUAUCGAUGGCUUGUUAAUCAAAGAUAUCGACCGUAUGAUCACUACUGAACGGUUUUCUUAUGGAAAAUGGACAACAGAACAAAUAAUAGCAGAGUAUAGAGAUGUCGUUACAGGUCAUGGCUGUCCGGACAGGGAAUUCUACAUGCCCUCUUUAAAGUGUGAGACACUUCCAGAGAGAAGACUGACCUGAUGAAUCCUGAAAAAGGAGCUGGUAAAUCUUCAUAGGCUGGGAAUCAUCACGAAUUGAGAUGCUAACUUGACACUGUUCUGACAAAAGAGUGCAACAAGAAGAAGAUUUGUUGUUUACUGUUGUGACAUUUUGUAUUUUGUGCUGUAGUACUCAGAAAACGUUGUAACUGUACAUGUACAUUAGGGGAAAAAAUCAGUGCUGCGCCAUCUUACUUUACUACAUGUGAUGGACCUUUGAAGGUAGUUUGGAAAAUAAUAUGUACUUACAAUAUUUUUCAUAAUGUGUCAUAUUUGCUGAUGCGGAGCUCCUGAAGACGGUAUCCUUUUUUAUGGUUAAACAAUAAUGACCAUGGCUCCCAUAGGUUAUUGGUGUGUAAAUGUUUUUAUGAUUUAAAAAAAAAAGGGAUUAGGUCAUCUAAUGGGACUCUGCUUCAAUUCCACCUUUUACUAUUCUUAAUAGUCACAGGAAAAUGUAUAAUAGGAGUUUGGAACUGUUAGGAUUUCGAAAGCAUUAUCAGGGAGUACAUAAAAACAUGUUUAUCAAGUAAUGGCUCUCUUAAUCAUUGAAAGCACCCAACCUUGAACCACAGUCAUCAUUCUGAAAUGCAUGCCUCCCUGCUCGCUGAGCCACCAGUACAAACACAAACCUGCUCCUAUGGGUCAUGCAGAAGGCAAAACCUUAACAAGCACUGGAUUACUUGUGGGUUAUUGGACAAUGGUAUUCAGGAUAAACACUAAGGUAGGUGAAGCCUUGUGGCUCUGUGGGAAUGCACUUGCCUCCCAUUGUUGUAGUUGAUGGUUCAAAUCCCCCUUGUGGGUUUCCCCCCCCCCUUUGGUGACAGUUAAAAAGGAUAAAUAUGUUUAACCAAAAAGAUUUUCAGUUAGAGUUCAUGUCAACGAUGGUGUUCCAGAAGGUGUGGGUUCUCUUCUACCUUUUGGCUACACGUGUGCCAUCGCUAUCCCUUGGUGGUGUAGUGGUUAGAGUUCAUGUGUGUGGGUUUUCAGGUUAUAACCCUCCUUUUGGCAGGUUCAAGAAUCAAAAGUGAUGCUGUGGAAGUAUGAAGGUGUGAUGGAGGGAGUGGUGUGUAGGCCUCUGUGGCUCAGUUGGCUAAGUCGUGAGUGCUGUGGAGCAGAAGGUGCUUGGAUCAAAACCCAGAAGGAGUGGCGUGGUUGGAGUUUGAGGGAUUGAGAGCAUGGAGGUGAGUGAGUGUCUGGUGCUCUAGCAGUUGUAGGUUGGGAGAUAGGUUGAGGAAGGGGUAGAGGAUUGGGUGAGUGAGUGUCUGGUGCUCUAGCAGUUGUAGGUUGAGGAAGGGGUAGAGGAUUGGGUGAGUGAGUGUCUUGUGCUCUAGCAGUGGUAGGUUGGGAGAUUGGUUGAGGAAGGGGUUGAGGAAGGGGUAGAGGAUUGGGUGAGUGAGUGUCUGGUGCUCUAGCAGUUAUAGGUUGAGGAAGGGGUUGAGGAUUGUCAAGUCACUUGUAGAAGUGGUGGAGUACAGAUGAGGGAUGUUCACUCAAGGGUGAGAGAGGGAGGACUAGGUUGGGUGUAAAAGAGAGGUUGAGUGGGUAUGAGCUCAGGAUGUGGUGGAGCAAGGUUGUGCUGUGAAGGAGGUAGGAGAGUGCACACCCUACAGUGCAGACCAAGAAUGUGUGGUGAGGGGUGUGCACUGGGGGCUGGUGGAGAGGAAGAGCCAGGCCUCACUUUUAUAAAAGGAAAUUACCCUGCUACAGCCCUAAUAGUAAUAAUAUAUUCUUAAAUGGCUUGGGAUCACAGGGUCUACUAAUAGGAAGAAUAAAUGUAAUAUCUACAGCUCCACUGCUGGCUCUCACACACCCCACUUCCUGAGACUCUACCUCUAUUCCUUUCCUACACCUAUCCCCCAGCUCCCUUCCCCUGGGUACACAGCCCCUGACUUUUUAGCCACACUCUCUGUUUGCUCUCCAGGCUGUGCACCCAGCUCUUCUUGGGACUCCACCUCUACCCUCCUCCCUACACCAGCUCCCCUGAGGUACCUGACACUCUACCUCCAACCACCACCUUCCUGCACCCAUCUAGCCUCCACCCACUUACAACUCCUCCUGGAACACCACCUACAACCACCAGAGUACCCUUCCUACACCAUUCACCCCACCACUACCACCACCACUACUACUACUACUACCACUGUAGCCUUCCUACACCCAUCCCCCAGCCUACACACUCCAACCAUCCCCACAUUUUCUAUAAGCCAAGAACUCUUGUUGGGUUUUGAUCCAAGCACCUUCUGAUCCACAGAGGCAACCACUCAACCAGUUGAGCCACAGAGUCUCUCAGAUAGCGCUGCUUCCAUCACACCUUCAUACUGCUUCACACUGCUUUUAUUCUUAAAAGUGCUGCUCCUGCCAAGAGGAGGGUUAGAACCUGCACAAAUAACAACCACCACACAAACCUGGCCAUGAACUCUAACCACUACACCACAGAUGCACAGGAAAAGAUGCUGUUUGUUGGACUUUUGUCAUUAUAAAUCACUUCUUGAGGAGCCAAAAGGCAGAACAGAACCAACACCUUCUGGAAGGCCCCAAUACUGACACAAACCACUACACCAAAGAGGAAGAGAAGUAACAUCUGUGUGAGAGUGUGUGUUUUUUGAACUUCAUGAAACACUUCACAAUGCAACAGCACAGUUUAUUCUAAAACCUGCAAAAAAGAGGGUUAGAACCUGCACAAACUACAACACAAACACUGCUCCACUAACCGGACUGUCUCUUUCUUUUUCUGGAUUUAG